GGACAGUUAGCCUAGUGGAUAAAGCUAUGGAUCGCCAAUCCGGAGACAGCGGGUUCGAUUCCCGUUCCA
rnacentral:tRNA from 1 species